GCGGGAAUGGCGUAAUUGGUAGCCGCACGAGAUUUAGGAUCUCGUAUCCGAAAGGAUGUGGGGGUUCGAGUCCCCCUUCCCGUACCA
rnacentral:tRNA from 1 species